rnacentral:rRNA from 1 species
CGACCGGCAAACGGGUGCGGAACACGUACACAACCUUCCUUGAAUAGGGGGAUAGCCCAUAGAAAUGUGGAUUAAUACCCCGUAAUAUAGCGGUGUGGCAUCACACUGUUAUUAUAGUUUCGGCGAUUCGAGAUGGGUGUGCGGCUGAUUAGGUAGUUGGCGGGGUAAAGGCCCACCAAGCCUUCGAUCAGUAGCUGAUGUGAGAGCAUGAUCAGCCACACGGGCACUGAGACACGGGCCCG